rnacentral:rRNA from 1 species
AGCACGGGGGCAACCCUGGUGGCGAGUGGCGAACGGGUGAGUAAUAUAUCGGAACGUACCCAAGAGUGGGGGAUAACGUAGCGAAAGUUACGCUAAUACCGCAUACGAUCUAUGGAUGAAAGCAGGGGACCGCAAGGCCUUGUGCUCCUGGAGCGGCCGAUAUCUGAUUAGCUAGUUGGUGAGGUAAAGGCUCACCAAGGCCACGAUCAGUAGCUGGUCUGAGAGGACGACCAGCCACACUGGAACUGAGACACGGUCCAGACUCCUACGGGAGGCAGCAGUGGGGAAUUUUGGACAAUGGGCGCAAGCCUGAUCCAGCAAUGCCGCGUGAGUGAAGAAGGCCUUCGGGUUGUAAAGCUCUUUUGUCAGGGAAGAAACGGUGGGGGCUAAUAUCCUCCGCUAAUGACGGUACCUGAAGAAUAAGCACCGGCUAACUACGUGCCAGCAGCCGCGGUAAUACGUAGGGUGCAAGCGUUAAUCGGAAUUACUGGGCGUAAAGCGUGCGCAGGCGGUUUUGUAAGUCUGUCGUGAAAGCCCCGGGCUCAACCUGGGAAUUGCGAUGGAGACUGCAAGGCUUGAAUCUGGCAGAGGGGGGUAGAAUUCCACGUGUAGCAGUGAAAUGCGUAGAGAUGUGGAGGAACACCGAUGGCGAAGGCAGCCCCCUGGGUCAAGAUUGACGCUCAUGCACGAAAGCGUGGGGAGCAAACAGGAUUAGAUACCCUGGUAGUCCACGCCCUAAACGAUGUCUACUAGUUGUC